rnacentral:rRNA from 1 species
UACGUAGGGCGCAAGCGUUGUCCGGAAUCAUUGGGCGUAAAGAGCGUGUAGGUGGCUCGGUAAGUCCGCUGUGAAAGUCCAGGGCUCAACCCUGGAACGCCGGUGGAAACUGUCGAGCUCGAGUCCGGAAGAGGCGAGUGGAAUUCCUGGUGUAGCGGUGAAAUGCGCAGAUAUCAGGAGGAACACCAAUGGCGAAGGCAGCUCGCUGGGACGGUACUGACACUGAGACGCGAAAGCGUGGGGAGCAAACAGG